rnacentral:rRNA from 1 species
GAUGAACGCUAGCGACAGGCUUAACACAUGCAAGUCGAGGGGCAGCGGGGCGGCAGGCUUGCCUGCCGUUGCCGGCGACCGGCGCACGGGUGAGUAACACGUAUGCAACCUGCCCGUGGCAGGGGGAUAAGCGGGGGAAACCCCGUCUAAUACCGCGUAACGCGGCCUAGGGACAUCCCAAGGCCGCCAAAGGGAGCAAUCCCGGCCACGGAUGGGCAUGCGGCGCAUUAGCUAGUCGGCGGGGUAACGGCCCACCGAGGCGACGAUGCGUAGGGGUUCUGAGAGGAAGGUCCCCCACAUUGGAACUGAGACACGGUCCAA